AUGGAACUGAGAAGCUUUUUGGACGAGUCACCUCGCAGGAAAAGCUGCCGACACAACAACUCUUCUCGUACAACUAGUAAGAGGUCUAGAACAAGAACGAAGGUAAGUAGGGGACAGGAGGGAACAACAGAUAAACAGGAUGUGGUGCUGGUGGGUCUCAUCAGAGGACCGGACCCCUGUCCAUCCUCUGUUUUGGUUUUCUCUCAGGAAUCAAGUUUUGCAACUUGGAGCUGUGAGAUCAGGUGUUGUCCUAAGCAUUUCACAUAUAGCAUUUAGUCCUUAAACUAUCCUUUGCAGUAGGUGCCAUCAUCAACCCCAUCGUGAAGUGGAGGAUGGAGGAACUUGCCAGAGCUGAUGCAGUAGGUGGGAGAUGCGGGUACCAGUGACGCCAGAAAAGGCAGCUAUCCCAAACUCUAUACCACAGCAGUGUCGCAUGGGACACAAUGCCUGGGGCUCAUUUCAGGGAACUUGCAUGGGGUUGGCACAAUUUUCUCGCCUCGGUGGGAGACCGGUGUGCCACCCCUGGACUCUGUGAGGAUGCGUAGCCCCUAGGCUCCCCUGAGAGCUCAACUCCUGUUGACAGGCCAGUUUGGUCCAAUCAGUACGUUGGUUUUCCUCCAAUCUGCCGAACAGCUUCCGAAGCUCCUCCCUUCAGGCUGUGGUUCUUCCUGAUAGCAUCCUGGGCUCUCAGGUAGAACCAAGAAAAAGAAAUUCAUCUGGGGGAAGGCAGUCAUGUACUCUCACCUCCUUCAUGCAGGCUCCUUGUAAAGUCACCCGUGUGCUCCCCCAGCAGAGAAGUGGACCCUCUCCUCCCAUCUCCACUGGAGUCCAUUUUUCUGCCCUGUACCCCCUUGGACCAUGCCAAGCACCCCAAUCUCUUUCUUUGUCUAGACCCUACCUGACCGGUUCCCUGAGCCCCAGGGUGUAUACCCCCACCCCCACCCCACUUAUAAGGGAAUAAUAAUCAGACAGUGAUCUCCAUCUAAAGGGGAUGAGCCCGCUCGGGGGGCCUCACAGCGACACAUGGCAUCCCCUCCUCUUUUUACAACACAAAAUUAAUUAUUUUUCACUUUUCAGGCCAAGAGAACUUUUAAAUUCAAUAGAUUUAGGGCCUAAUUACUCAUCUUUGCCCACUGGCCUUCACAAAACCUGCUUUAUAACUGCUACAACCAGAAGGGUGGGCCAGAGUUGGGAGCAAGAUGAGAUUUUACAAUCUGGAAGGAGUUCCAACAUGUUUAGCAACGACUGACAGAGAACAACUGUUUCUACCCAGGACGUUCGAAUCUAUGCCAGGGAAGCAGAGUAGUGGAGUCGUGGAAAUAUGGAAGGGAAUGUGUGAUAAAAACAAGGAGGGUUGCAAUUAACAUCCAAAUAAAGGUUGGAAGAAACCCA
rnacentral:lncRNA from 1 species